ensembl:misc_RNA Y_RNA Y RNA
GGCUGGUCUGAAGGUAGUACCUUACCUCACAUGAAUGUUCACAGUCAGUUGCAGAUUGAACUCCUUAUUUUACUCUUUCCCCUCUUGUCACUACUGCAUGUGAAUAGUCUUUU